rnacentral:misc_RNA from 1 species
AAAAUCUCUCAGGAGCUUUAUAUCGCAUAUAUGACAUUACAAUACACCAUAAUAUUUUGAUAAUUAAAAUGUUAAACAUAUGAACUAACAAGUUAAAUCAAUAAAGUAUUAAGUAAAACUCAUAUGUAAUAUCAAUGGAGAAACAGACAAACAGUUCGGCCAAAUAAGAAUGAGGAAAAGAAAUUAGGAUGAUAAAUUGAACAAGAAAACAAACCCGGGUGGGUCUGAAGAGACCCGUCUCUAACGUAUUAAAACCUCAACGGAAUUCUUACUGUUGUUUUUUUUCGUUGAAGCUUGCUGGAGUUGUUUGAACUGCUAACUUUGUCGGAACAGUUGUUGCUGAUUUUUUCUGGUUGGAGCAGUGAUGUCGGCUGAUGGUGCUGCUGGACUGCUUCCCUGCCAAACCUGCAAGAAAAAAAAAGGAAAAAGAGGACGAAGGAGAAGAGGA